CUCUUCCACAAGUUCACCAAUGGGAAAUGGGGCAAAACAGCUCAUGUCAACCUCCAGAACAAUGUGAAAGUGUUGGAGAUAAUGAAUUUGACACGAAGAUCAUCCAUCCCCAUCACAAUGCGUGACAUCUUCCCAGAAGACUUCUUCAACUACUCAGUCAAGGCUCUUUGCUAUGAAGAUUGCAAGGAACGACUCUCCCGGAUCGCUUGACGAACCAACAAUGCUCCUUGUCUGCAAGAGCCUAAAUUGCAGGACACCAAAGCUCCUGGUCUGCACGAGCAUAAAAGGCAACACCAAAACGCUCAUUGCCUGCACGAGCUAAAACUGCAAACGGCACCAAAAGAAAAUACAAUAUACAUACAUACAUAUAUAUAUAUAUAUAUAUGUAUUUGAACUACGUUUUGACUUGAUCUCUUCCUUGGAGGGGUACGUAGGCAGCUCGAACAUUAAAUUUCGAGUUCAGUCACAUCAAAAUAAAAAAAUAAAUGUUUUAUUAAUGAAAGUCAAUUUCAUUACAAGAAAAAGAAUACAUAUGUGAUUACUAUGUAUUUUAAAAAAAUAA
rnacentral:lncRNA from 1 species